rnacentral:rRNA from 2 species
GGACUACCCGGGUUUCUAAUCCUGUUUGCUCCCCACGCUUUCGUGCCUGAGCGUCAGUGCUAGCCCAGGGGGCUGCCUUCGCCAUCGGUGUUCCUCCGCAUCUCUACGCAUUUCACUGCUACACGCGGAAUUCCACCCCCCUCUGCCACACUCCAGUUCGCCAGUUUCCAUGGCCAUUCCCAGGUUAAGCCCGGGGCUUUCACCACCGACACAACGAACCGCCUGCGCACGCUUUACGCCCAGUAAUUCCGAUUAACGCUCGCACCCUACGUAUUACCGCGGCUGCUGGCAC